AAUAGAUAGAAACCCUCGAUCCCCAAAUCAGAAGCCCCAGCCCUCGUCUCCACCCCAUCUCGCCGCUGCCAGACCUAACCCUCGCCUCCGCCGCCAGACCUAACCCUCGCCGCCACCGCUGCCGCCGCAGCAGCGGUCGCCGCCUUUGUCGUCCCACUCCGCUGCUCCAGGCCGGCGCAUCCACCCUUGAGACUGCACAUCCCCUCGUUUCUUGUACCUUCUCUAUCCUCUCGCCGGUCAAGCGAACCACACCUUGUCCUCCUCGCGCCUACGCGCAGCCUCACCACGAGCCCGAGCGCGCCUUCCUCACAUCGUCACCACCGUCGAUCCUCCACACCAAGAAGCCGGCGGCUACUUUCUGUUGAGAGACGCAUCCUGAACAAUGAGAGACCAGGUGAGUGGUGGCUCCAUGGACAUGGAGUACUAUGCAUCGGGUUGACGAACUCUCCAGGGCGCUCACCGAUCUUGGCUUUUGUUCUGACCUUGUGUACAUGAAGGCACAUGGAUCACCUAAUUUCAACUCUGACGCAGAGCAAUAAAAUGAUUUAGGAAGCAUUGAGCAAGUUGCACUACAAGUAUACGGAGCAUCAUCAAUGCAACAGAGGCUGCGACAAUAAUUAAGUUAAGGUUGUCACUCGAUGGCAAAAAGUUGCAUCAUAUCCUUCCAAAUGCAGAAUCAACUUGGAUGAAACUGCUUGCCAUAUUGCCACUUCACUGUUUAGUUGAAACUAUUCUAUGUCGGGACACACAUCCUCUUGAGAUUGUAUACUACUAUUUCCUCAAAGUGCAGGUUAAGAAGAGCAUCUUGCAACCUAAGCUCCAGCAAAACAUUGUAGAAAAUGGUCUCAAAUUGUGAAUAUUUAGUUGAUGCACGUGUGCAUUUUUGAGAAGUUGUACCUCUGUUUUUGUUGACUUUUGAUUCAUGUAUGUAAAUUCUAUGCAGUUAUAUCAGAAGAUAUGUGAAUUUGUAACUUAUUAUUCGUAGAAAAAUUCAAGAUUCGGGGUCUAUGAGAGAUUCAAGAGCUUCUAAUCAAGGGCAACCUUGAAGAGAAGCUUGCAACUUAAGCUGGCAACUAAAGAUUAUAGAAAAUGAAGUCUAUUGUGUAUAUUUAGUUGAUGCACUUGUGUGUUUUUAGAUGUUGAACCUCUGUUUUCGUUGACCUUCCAUUCAUUAUGUAAAUUCUAUGCAAUUGUAUCCGAAGACAUGUGAAUUUGUAUCUCUGGUUGAAGGAAACAAUUGAUAGUGAUGUUUCUAUUCUGGAAUAGCUAUUUAUAAAACUGUCUAUAUUUUUUUGUUCA